rnacentral:rRNA from 1 species
UACAGAGACUGCAAGCGUUAUUCGGAUUCACUGGGCGUAAAGGGUGCGCAGGCGGCCGUGUGUGUGAGGCGUGAAAGCCUGGAGCUUAACUCCAGAAUUGCACCUCAACUACACGGCUAGAGCAUUGGAGAGGGUAGCAGAAUUCACGGUGUAGCAGUGAAAUGCGUAGAUAUCGUGAGGAAUACCAGAGGCGAAGGCGGCUACCUGGACAAUUGCUGACGCUCAGGCACGAAAGCGUGGGGAGCAAA